AUACGUAGGGAGCGAGCGUUGUCCGGAAUUACUGGGUGUAAAGGGAGCGUAGGCGGGAGUGCAAGUCAGAUGUGAAAUACAUGGGCUCAACCCAUGGGCUGCAUUUGACACUGUGGUUCUUGAGUGAAGUAGAGGUAAGCGGAAUUCCUGGUGUAGCGGUGAAAUGCGUAGAUAUCAGGAGGAACACCGGUGGCGAAGGCGGCUUACUGGGCUUUUACUGACGCUGAGGCUCGAAAGCGUGGGGAGCAAACAGGAUUAGAUACCCUGGUAGUCCACGCUGUAAACGAUGAUUACUAGGUGUGGGGGGACUGACCCCUUCCGUGCCGCAGUUAACACAAUAAGUAAUCCACCUGGGGAGUACGGCCGCAAGGUUGAAACUCAAAUGAAUUGGCGGGG
rnacentral:rRNA from 1 species